GGUCUGGUGGUGUAGUUGGUUUAUCACAUCUGCUUCACAGUGCGUUUGUUUCUGCAACCGCGGUGCCCGCAGGCGGUCCUCGGUUCGAUCCCGGGCCAGAUCA